CCUACGGGAGGCAGCAGUGGGGAAUAUUGGACAAUGGGCGCAAGCCUGAUCCAGCCAUGCCGCGUGAGUGAUGAAGGCCUUAGGGUUGUAAAGCUCUUUCGCUAGGGAAGCGGUACCUAGAGAAGAAGCCCCGGCUAACUUCGUGCCAGCAGCCGCGGUAAUACGAAGGGGGCUAGCGUUGUUCGGAAUUACUGGGCGUAAAGCGCACGUAGGCGGACUUGUCAGUCAGGGGUGAAAUCCCGAGGCUUAACCUCGGAACUGCCUUUGAUACUGCAAGUCUUGAGGAUGAGAGAGGUAAGUGGAACUGCGAGUGUAGAGGUGAAAUUCGUAGAUAUUCGCAAGAACACCAGUGGCGAAGGCGGCUUACUGGCUCAUUCUGACGCUGAGGUGCGAAAGCGUGGGGAGCAAACAGGAUUAGAUACCCUUGUAGUC
rnacentral:rRNA from 1 species